UACGUAGGGUGCGAGCGUUGUCCGGAAUUAUUGGGCGGAAAGGGCUCGUAGGCGGUCUGUUGCGUCAGGAGUGAAGACUCGGGGCUUAACCCCGAGCCUGCUUCUGAUACGGGCAGACUAGAGGUAUGCAGGGGAGAACGGAAUUCCUGGUGUAGCGGUGAAAUGCGCAGAUAUCAGGAGGAACACCGGUGGCGAAGGCGGUUCUCUGGGCAUUACCUGACGCUGAGGAGCGAAAGUGUGGGGAGCGAACAGG
rnacentral:rRNA from 1 species